CUAAAUUGCACAAAGCCCCCAGUUCAGUUUCUCUCUCUUCUCUCCCGAGCUCCCCCGCACUCCCUCUCUUCUCCGAUACGUUUCUCCACCGUCCGGCCACCGUUUUGGCCGCCAUCGGUGGCUGUAAGAUCGCACGGCCACCCUCUCUCCGCCUGUGGUGGUGCGACGCCGUGUUUCAAGCCGGAGAUGAAGCCUUCAGCCGGAGGAGAACGCUGCCGAGUUGCUCACCGGAGUUCGGGCUUUGCUGGUGAACCCAGACCUUAUGAGUGCUUCAUUUCCUUGAAGUCUCUUCCCUCUAAGCACGAUUUGAGCUGCCGUUCACCUCGUUUUGAGGUCAGAAUCGGAUUGAAGUCUUCUUGGGAGCCAGUUUUCUUUUGGACGAUUCCAGCCGAUUCCAGCCAAAUGGGUUCAACCUUCAGGUGACUUGUGAGGUGUGAUUGGCUUGGCUCUUUUGGUUGUGUUUUUGGUGAAGACGCAGCAGGAAUAUAUAGGUGAGUAACAUCUCACCAAGGUUCACUUGGAACCAAUUAUUUAUGGAAUUGUGAUAAUGAUUAUUAUGAUGAUGAUGGUGAUGAUGAUGAGGUUUAUGAUGAUAAAAUGAUGAUGAAUUACGAUGAUGAUUUUUGGUGUUUUUAAUUUAAAAUUUUUAUUUUUGGCUGUUUAAAAUAUAUGAGCUUGAUCGCCAAUGACUCAUAGGUA